CCAGGGUGGGAUUUGGCAGUUGGCCAG
rnacentral:piRNA from 1 species